GAGACUGGAAGGCAGACUUGGCAGUGCGCUUUCCUUCUUCCCCAGUGUAUGAUACUCCUUUGUCCCUGAGGAACUGGAUGCAUUAGAAAGAACACUGAGCUAGGGGACUGGAAGUCUAGGUUCUAGCACAACACCUAUGAAAAACUAGCAGUGUGACCUUGGACCACUCACUCCACAUUUCUGGAUCUUCAUGUCCUCACCUAUUAAAUGUGGUUUUGGAAAGGAUUAUUUUCAAGUUACAUUCCAGCUUUCAGUUUCUAUGAAGUUCCGUAUUCUGUGAGUUGUUUGUUUCCAAUUUAAGAAGAUCAUUCUUAAUUCUGAUCGUUAUCUUCUAAGAUGCGAGUUCCACUUACUUAACCUCCCCCUCCAACCAGCCCUCAGUACCACCACUGAAACUACCAGGAUACAUAUCCACCACAAUAAGAAAGUAAAGGAGAAAAACUAGACAUGGGAUCCAACCCAAGAGAGAAGUGAAGUAUUUUCCUAGAACUACGGCAGUGGGAAAUUCCAGGAUGAUGCUUAUGUACCAGCCUAGAGAGCAACUAGUCUGGACUGGAGCAGAAAGAAGGCUUCAGGAGGGAUACCCCAAGACAAGAUCAAAACUGACAGAUUAUCUAGCCUGCAUUACCAUAUUGAGAGGGAUAUAGUUCUAACAGACCAUUUAAGGAAGAAAACCUAACAAACAAAAUAUAAGGCAAUGAUUAGGUCCCAAAAAAUUAAAGUGUGAUAAUAGUAUAUCAUAUAGCUUAAUUACAAAGAAAAUUUACAUCAUCAUCAUGUAAACAUCAAUUAUUCACUUAAUCUAAAUGUUAUCUCAGGGAAGCUGGAACAGGAUAGUGAAGGGCCUCAGGAGAUGUACAGUGUUCAUGACGAAUCUUAUAGUACUAUGUGACUUUUCAAACUAUGUAUAUGUUUGACUUUGAUAAAAAUUAAGAAAAAAUAUGGCUUUGCAAAAAACAUUCCAUCAUGUAUGAUUUUUCAGUGCUGUCUAAAAUGACUAUACAAUUAUUGCUCCAACAAGUGACAGAGCAACAGUUUUCAACUUUUUUUCCACUGGGAUACACAUGACAAGUGAUAUUUCCAUGUGAUAUAAUCCUAUGGAUGUUCCCAUUGUGCUAAACUUAACAUGAUGUUUCUCUCAUGCUUAAGAAAUUAUACCAGAAUACAAG
rnacentral:lncRNA from 1 species